CUUCAACGAACCGAGCCACAGCGGCUGUUCGGCAUCGCGCCCCUGACCGUAGGUCGCCAGCAGCGCCUGCGCCUC
rnacentral:antisense_RNA from 1 species